rnacentral:rRNA from 1 species
AUCACUCCUACGGGAGGCAGCAGUGGGGAAUAUUGCGCAAUGGGCGAAAGCCUGACGCAGCAACGCCGCGUGUGUGAUGAAGGCCUUCGGGUCGUAAAGCACUGUCAGAAGGGAAGAUUAGGACGGUACCUUCAAAGGAAGCACCGGCUAACUCCGUGCCAGCAGCCGCGGUAAUACGGAGGGUGCGAGCGUUAAUCGGAAUUACUGGGCGUAAAGCGCAUGCAGGUGGUUUGUUAAGUCAGAUGUGAAAGCCCGGGGCUCAACCUCGGAAUUGCAUUUGAAACUAGCAAACUAGAGUACUGUAGAGGGGGUAGAAUUUCAGGUGUAGCGGUGAAAUGCGUAGAGAUCUGAAGGAAUACCGGUGGCGAAGGCGGCCCCCUGGACAGAUACUGACACUCAGAUGCGAAAGCGUGGGGAGCAAACAGGAUUAGAUACCCUGGUAG